UUUUCACAGUUUCGCUCACACUAGGCCUCGGAAGACCAUGGCUGCUGCUAAGGGAAUGGCCAUUGGCAUCGACCUGGGCACCACCUACUCCUGCGUGGGGGUGUUCCAGCACGGCAAGGUGGAGAUCAUCGCCAACGACCAGGGCAACCGCACCACCCCCAGCUACGUGGCCUUCACGGACACCGAGCGGCUCAUCGGGGAUGCCGCCAAGAACCAGGUAGCCAUGAAUCCGCAGAACACUGUCUUUGAUGCCAAACGUCUGAUUGGCAGGAAGUUUAAUGAUCCUGUAGUGCAAUCAGAUAUGAAACUUUGGCCUUUUCAAGUAAUCAAUGAAGGAGGCAAGCCCAAGGUAUUGGUGUCAUACAAAGGGGAGAAAAAAGCUUUCUAUCCUGAGGAAAUCUCUUCUAUGGUACUGACGAAGAUGAAGGAGACUGCUGAGGCUUUUUUGGGCCACCCCGUUACCAAUGCUGUGAUCACUGUACCAGCCUAUUUCAAUGAUUCUCAACGCCAGGCCACCAAGGAUGCAGGCGUAAUUGCAGGUCUCAAUGUGCUAAGAAUUAUCAAUGAACCCACAGCUGCUGCCAUUGCGUAUGGCUUAGAUAAAGCAGGUCAGGGAGAGCGACAUGUCUUGAUCUUUGAUCUAGGUGGAGGCACAUUUGAUGUGUCCAUCCUGACCAUAGAUGAUGGAAUUUUUGAGGUGAAGGCCACAGCUGGGGAUACCCACCUGGGAGGGGAGGACUUUGACAACAGGCUGGUGAGCCACUUCGUGGAGGAGUUCAAGAGGAAGCACAAGAAGGACAUCAGCCAGAACAAGCGGGCCGUGAGGCGGCUGCGCACCGCCUGCGAGAGGGCCAAGAGGACCCUGUCGUCUAGCACCCAGGCCAACUUGGAAAUUGAUUCACUUUAUGAAGGCAUUGACUUCUACACGUCCAUCACCAGAGCCCGGUUUGAAGAGUUGUGUGCAGACCUGUUUAGAGGCACUCUGGAACCUGUGGAGAAGGCUCUUCGGGAUGCCAAGAUGGAUAAGGCUAAGAUCCAUGACAUUGUGUUAGUGGGGGGCUCCACUCGUAUCCCUAAGGUUCAGAGGCUGCUGCAGGACUACUUUAAUGGUCGUGAUCUCAACAAGAGCAUCAACCCUGACGAGGCCGUGGCCUAUGGGGCAGCGGUGCAGGCAGCCAUCCUGAUGGGGGACAAGUCUGAAAAGGUACAGGAUCUGCUUUUGUUGGAUGUGGCUCCCUUGUCCCUAGGGUUGGAAACGGCUGGGGGCGUCAUGACGGUCCUGAUCAAGCGCAACUCCACCAUCCCCACCAAGCAGACGCAGAUCUUCACCACCUAUUCAGAUAAUCAGCCUGGGGUAUUGAUCCAGGUGUAUGAGGGCGAGAGGGCCAUGACCCGAGACAACAACCUCCUGGGGCGCUUUGACCUGACUGGAAUCCCUCCUGCACCCAGGGGAGUGCCCCAGAUCGAGGUGACCUUUGACAUCGAUGCCAAUGGUAUUCUCAAUGUAACAGCCAUGGACAAGAGCACAGGCAAGGCCAAUAAGAUCACCAUCACCAAUGACAAGGGCCGCCUGAGCAAGGAGGAGAUUGAGCGCAUGGUUCUGGAUGCUGAGAAGUAUAAAGCGGAGGAUGAGGUCCAGAGAGAGAAAAUCUCUGCAAAAAAUGCUUUAGAAUCUUAUGCUUUUAACAUGAAGAGUGCUGUGAGUGAUGAAGGCUUGAAGGGCAAGAUUAGUGAGUCUGAUAAAAAGAAAAUACUGGAUAAAUGUAAUGAGGUCCUUUCAUGGCUGGAGGCCAAUCAACUGGCUGAGAAAGAGGAGUUUGAUCAUAAGAGAAAGGAAUUGGAGCAGAUUUAUUUUAGAGAGAGCACGCACAUAUGCGUGAGCAUAUGUGAGAACGCUGAGGGGGAGGAGGAACAGAGGAGAGAGAAACCCAGCGGACUCCACACUGAGCUCAGAGCCUGAUGUGGACUCCAUCCCACCACCCUGAGAUCAUGACCUCAGCCGAAACCAAGAGUCGGAUGCCCAAAUGACUGAGCCACCCAGGAGCCCCUAUUUUUUUAAAUUAAUUUAUUUAAGUCGUCUCCACACCCACUGUGGGGCUCAAACUCAUGACCCCAAGAUGAAGAGUCGUGUGCUCUUCUGAGCCAGCCAGGCACCCCUCUUCUGGUAUCUUUAUAGACUGUGAGCGUACCUUGAAAAGUAAGGUAAAGAAGAUUUCAUGAAGAGUGUGAGUGUGGUCUGAUUGUGAAAUCAUUGUGAAUGAUUAAACUGGUAAGGAGAAAGUACUUGAAUUAUCAUGAACUAAUUGUUUCAAGCAGGAAAAUAACUUUUGAUCAUCAGGCACCUUUAGCUCCAGCUAGAGCAGUUGCUAUUUAUAGUUUCUGCUUGUACUCAGUGAUAGACUCGUUUAGGUGCUUAGGGUUUAACUGGGGGGAACAAACUUCUGCUUGAUGUCCUUAUGACAUUUAUAGGUGGGGUCUAGGACACCCAACAUCUGUGUACUCGUAGUCUAUUAUUACAUCCUUUACAUGCAGAAAACAUUUUUACAACAAACUGCUGACGUAUGGAUACUUUUCUGCAAGAUGAGAAAUGGAUUUAGCAGUCUUAUUCCUUGAAAAAAGUAUUUUCACCUAUUGUGUCAUAAUAUCACAUCUUUAUAAAACCCUUAGGGGCAUGAGUAUAGAAGUCUGUGUAACUGUGCACUUGUGUCCUUUAGUGUUUGAGGGGGCAUAUUUGGAAGUGAAAUACUAGAAUAGGAAUUUCUACCCCUGAGCAAGCUUCUCUUUGGUUUUACUCAGUCCUUUACAGGACAGCCCUAGGCAAAAGGGUGUAAGAAACAUGGGUCCUUGGGAGAAAAAUGUUUAUUGGGAACCUUUGAUAAAAUCAAGAUUAGUGCUCUGGCUCCUAAUCUCGGCGACUCCGCAACAUUUUAUUUUUUAUCGAAGUGUAACGGAUAUAGAAAAGUGCACAAAUCAGGAGUUUUCCCAAGUUCCUCGACAGUUUUCAAAAGAGUGUCUGUAGGGUGUUAGCACCGUGGGGGGCACUAUCAAGUAAAAACCCCGGAAAGGGGGCGCCUGGGUGGCUCAGUUGGUUAAGCGACUGCCUUCAGCUCAGGUCAUGAUCCCAGGGUCCUGGGAUCGAGUCCCGCAUCGGGCUCCCUGCUCUGCGGGGAGCCUGCUUCUCCCUUUCCCACUCCCCCUGCUUGUGUUUCUUCUCUCGCUGUGUCUCUCUCUGUCAAAUAAAUGAAUAAAAUCUUUAAAAAAAAAAAAAAAAAAAAAAAAAAAAAAAAAAAAAAACCCGGAAAGGCGAGGAGCCUCUUCAAAACUCGGUAACAGCUCGGGCUCGCGCCUGCGUGGUGGAAGCCCGCCUCUCCGGGAGGAAGUGGGAAGGCAGGAAGACCCGCCCCUUCCCCGGCUUAAACGCCCCCUCGGCUCUCCCCUGCCGGCUCUCCCCUGCCGGCUUUCCCGGAGCCGCGAGUCUGCCGCGCGCGCCUGUCAUUACUCAGAGCUUCCGCGGCUUUUCUCGCUGCGCCUGCGCGAUUCCGUCCCGCCCCACGCGCGGGCUCGCUUCCCGGUUGCCGCCCGACCCCAGGCCUGCGGUUCCCUGCCUUCGCCUUCCCGGUCCGGCCGGCAGCCCGCGGCUUGAGCACCAUGCAUCUGUGGAACCCUCCAUUCUGUGGAUCAGUACCUCAACAUCAAACUAACUGACAUCAGUGUUACAGACCCUGAGAAAUAUCCUCACAUGUUAUCAGUGAAGAACUGCUUCAUCCGGGGCUCAGUGGUCCGCUAUG